AAAGGAAUUAGGUCAAAAUGAGAUUACCACGCUUCCCCUUUCCUUCUUCGUGUGCGACGGAGAACGGUGACGACGUCCUCCUCCGAUCUCGUUCUGCCUCACCGCUCUCUCAUAUCUCCGAUUCAAUCUCCGAUCGGUUCUCUCUCCUUCUUCUCCGAUCAAAUUCCCGCCUCGUCUCUCGUCUCAACCUCUCUCGAAUCUCCGCUCUUAGACUCUCGAUUUUGUCUUGAGCUUCAUUCAGAUUCCUCUCUGUUGAUGGUGAUGUUGCAAUUGUAGUUGAUUAUGCAGUGGUUGUUGAAGUGACACGAAUUGGAGGUCGUUGCGUUGUGGAUGCCGUAGGUGAUGAGGUUAUUGAAGGUCGAAUCCGUUGAAGGUUUAACGACGAGUACGUGCUUGAAAUUGUUUGUGGUUCAAUGGAGAAGAUGGCAUGAUUAUGCAAAAUCGAUGAACAAUGAUUAUGGUGAAGAUCGAAGAGUUGAAUGGAACUGAUGAAGAACGAAUCUAGUGAAUCCAAUCAGAGAGAGUUUGUUGCCUUCUAUUAAAGGUGAAUUACUCUCCUUCUUCUCUUACACUUUUCUGUUACAUUCCCCUCCAAUUCUGUUUCAACUUUUGGUUAUGUGAUUGCAGUGACAUUGUAGAAUCGGGCGUGGAGAUUUGACGCAGAUGUGUUGUUAUUGGAGUCGAUUCUGAGCGUGAAUCCGUAGUUUUGUGGUUCGAUUUCUUCUUCUUCCGAUUCAAUUUUCACUUCUGUCUGUUUGUUGUGGUAACGAUGCGUGAAGAUAAUGAUUCACGGUGAUGUUGAAGUGGUUCUUCUGCCGAUUGUCAAGAGUGCAGGGAGAGAAUCCUUGGUGGAGAGUGAAGAGAAAUCGAAAGAGAAGCAGUUUGAGAUUGAAGGUUGAGAUUGAGCUUGAAGAUGAUGAAUUGGUCAGGGAAAGUUUGUUACCGCUUUUUGUGAGUUUCCUGGAGAAUUCGUGAAGAGAAUUGAUGGUGAAUCGAAAAGUUUGUUACGUGUUGAGAUUGAAGUGAGGUGAUCAAAAUUGAGAGGUUCUUGAAGUUUGUUGAAGCUUUUGUGAAUGAAGAUGGAGGGAGUCAAAAGUUUGUUACGAUUCGGUUCCAGACUCCGUUUAUUUGUUCUUGCAAGGGGCGGUUUUAUGGCAGGGUGCUGAACCGUUUUUUCUCUUUGUUUGUGCAGGUGGAUGCUAUUUUGGCAAACUUGUUCAAUUACUUUGUAGGUGUGACUUGAAGGCGGAAGUUGCAAGCUGCUGGUUUAUUUUGUGGACGGUUCUGUUGAAGUGUGGUGAAAUAGGAUAAGAACAAUGGACUAGGAAUAUUCUUGUAUACCUUUUGUAACUUUUGUUUUUUCUAAUGGAUAUGUAUUGUGAUUGUGAUGGAUGAUUGUAAUGGAUGUUUGUAUGGACAUUUGAAUGGGGGUAAUGAACAUUUGAAUUUUUAUCUUGUAUUGAAC